CUUUCAUUUACAUUCUCCUUUAUCUUUCAUUUUCAUCCUUUAGAAAAUGAAAGAUAAAGGAGAAUGUCACUUUUAC
rnacentral:pre_miRNA from 9 species